rnacentral:lncRNA from 1 species
AUGUACAUCAUCAACCCCUGCACUGAAAGGACUUUUGAACCUCAGAUAAGAUGCUUCCACCAGGUGCAGCCAGGCCUCUGUGGUGCUUUGCACUGCGCAGAAGUGAGCUCUCCUCCAGGGACACUCAAUCCAAGGCAGACAAAGAAAACAGGGAGAAAAACAAGCACCUGGCAGAGAAGUGCCAAGCCACAGGCAACAGGAUAUGGGAAUGUCUCCUCCCUGCCCUGCUCAUUGCACUGUGACACUUUUCAAAUAAUGAACCUCCUGUACCUGGU